AGGUAAAGUGGCGCACGGGUGAGUAACGCGUGGGUAAUCUGCCCCCCGGUCAGGAAUAACCCGCCGAAAGGCGGGCUAAUACCCGAUAACACUGACACUCUGCGGAGUGUCUUUCAAAGAAGGCCUCUGUUUACAAGCUUUCACCGGAGGAUGAGCCCGCGUACCAUUAGCUAGUUGGCAGGGUAAUGGCCUACCAAGGCAACGAUGGUUAGCUGGUCUGAGAGGAUGACCAGCCACACUGGAACUGAGACACGGCCCAAACUCCUACGGGAGGCAGCAGUGGGGAAUAUUGGACAAUGGGGGCAACCCUGAUCCAGCGACGCCGCGUGAGUGAAGAAGUAUUUCGGUAUGUAAAGCUCUAUCAGCAGGGAAGAUAAUGACAGUACCUGACUAAGAAGCCCCGGCUAACUACGUGCCAGCAGCCGCGGUAAUACGUAGGGGGCAAGCGUUAUCCGGAUUUACUGGGUGUAAAGGGAGCGUAGGUGGCUCGAUAAGUCAGAAGUGAAAGCCCAGAGCUCAACUCUGGGACUGCUUUUGAAACUAUCGAGCUAGAGUGCAGGAGAGGUAAGUGGAAUUCCUAGUGUAGCGGUGAAAUGCGUAGAUAUUAGGAGGAACACCAGUGGCGAAGGCGAC
rnacentral:rRNA from 1 species